rnacentral:rRNA from 1 species
UACCCCUAGCAAAUCUCAAAAAACCGGUCUCAGUACAGAUAGGAGUCUGCAACUCGACUCCUUGAAGGUGGAAUCGCUAGUAAUCCCUGAUCAGCAGGCAGGGGUGAAUACGUUCCCGGGCCUUGUACACACCGCCCGUCACACCAUGGGAGUCGGCUGCUCCAGAAGUGGCUGCGCCAACCGCAAGGAGGCAGGUUACUAAGGAGUGGUCAGCGACUGGGGUGAAG